rnacentral:rRNA from 1 species
CAGCAGCCGCGGUAAUACAUAGGGGGCGAGCGUUAUCCGGAAUUAUUGGGCGUAAAGCGUGCGUAGGCGGUUAUUUAAGUCUGGUGUAAAAACCCAAAGCUUAACUUUGGGAGGUCACUGGAAACUGGGUAACUUGAGUAUGGUAGAGGUAAGUGGAAUUCCAAGUGGAGCGGUGGAAUGCGUAGAGAUUUGGAGGAACACCAGUGGCGAAGGCGGCUUACUGGGCCAUUACUGACGCUCAGGCACGAAAGCGUGGGGAGCAAACAGGAUUAGAUACCCUGGUAGUCCACGCCGUAAACGAUGAGUGCUAAGUAUCGGGAAGAAUUUCGGUGCUGCAGUUAACACAAUAAGCACUCCGCCUGGGGAGUACGGUCGCAAGACUGAAACUCAAAGGAAUUGACGGGGACUCGCACAAGCGGUGGAGCAUGCGGUUUAAUUCGAUGCAACGCGAAGAACCUUACCAGGUCUUGACAUCCCGUUGACAGGUCUAGAGAUAGAUUUUUUCUUCGGAACAACGGAGACAGGUGGUGCAUGGCC